CGUGCGACGGCGGCAACCAAAAUUCCCCAUUCUUCCUACCUCUGCUCCUCCCUGCGAGCUCCCUCCGCCGUAGCGCUAUUGCUCGGCGGCCGCCACAUGCGUGGGUCGCGUUGCCAGAUUCACCUAGAUCCGCCCGGAGGACGUCAGAGCAGCAUCCAUGGAUCCCCGCGCCUGCAGACGCCGUCGAAGGCCGCUUGUUCAUCGUCCGCUCCGGCGGAAACCCUCGAACCUGCAACCAUCGACGCCCGAGCGAAUGGAGGCCUCCUUGAUUUUUCUCCACAGUGUCCAGGCUGCGGGGAUGUAUCGGGCACCAGGAAUCCCCGGUAAUGCUCUCGUCGUUGACUGGCUUACCCGGUUGCCCCUGCUCACGCUGAUCUGCAACACGUGUUGAGAUCGAGAGGAACAGGGGGUGCUGCUGCUUGGCUCCUCAUCCAUCGAUGGGACAACGUCACAGCGGCAUGUGGUGGUGUGUGGGUGCUGUAUAGCUGCUAGGAAGCAGGGUAAAGGAGAGUCCACGGCUGCUGAUUGGUGGCGUGAAGGGGAGCUGGUGGCCACGGAAAAUUGUGGAGUACCUGCUGUGCCUCGCGGAAGUGGGAACAAGAUGGCGGCGAUAGAAUUUUCUCGAUUUGUGAGGUUUUCCAUUAGGGCAAGUAUCUUCUUUUAUACAAUGGAAAAGACAUGUUUUUUGCCUUCUUUCAGAAGAAAAAUUGACGUCCAUGCAUGUUUUCCAUUAGGGGAAGUAUCUUCUUUUAUUCAAUGGAAACUACAUGUUUUUUUGCCUUCUUUCAGAAGAAAAAUUGACCUCCAUGAUAUAUCCACGGUCUACAAAUAAUUUGUAGGUAUAUACCUACAUGCCAGGUAUGCACAUACGUAGGAUUUUUUUUUUCAUUGUUUAUACCCUCGCUACUACUGAAGUAGAAGCUAACCAAGAUGGCUCUCAUGUUGGAUCGACUGAUUGUAGAUCUCAUGUUUAAAUAUGUGAGCGAAUUUGCAAAAAUCAAGCAAAAAUUCGCUGGUUAACUGUCGAUCAGGUGAUCAGGUCCUAUUACAUCACAAUCUACAUGUGAGUGAUAUUAGUAUUUGGUAUUACAGUCAGAAAUUGCUAGUCUCCAAGUAGAAUCAGAGAGGAAAAGGGGUUUAUAAAAUUAGAUGUCUCCAUGGGCUUACCUCGCAUGAUAUGUCAACCAUAGCAGAAGUGACGUACAUGGAGAACCAACCUGUGAUUGGAUGGUUAGGAGGGCAGU